AUAAAAAACAUUGAAAAACGAGUAGGCUUAUGAAAGUUUCUAGAGAGUAAGCGUUUGGUGGAAGCUUAUAACGGCAGUAAGUUCGAAAAUCAUUUUCUUGAUUGCAAGGCUGAAGCGUAGUAAGCCUUGUCGCAGUGGUGUGCGUUAUCCUCCCCCGGCAUUGUUGGAUGCUCGAGCGCUUAUUUCGGUAAGAAUAAAGGUGGUACCGCGGACUAUUUCGCCCUUUGU
rnacentral:ncRNA from 1 species